UCUCUAGUGGCUCAGAUGGUAAAGCGUCUAUCUGCAGUGCAGAAGACCCGGGUUCGAUCCCUGGGUUGGGAA
rfam:Ovis aries breed Texel chromosome 1, whole genome shotgun sequence.